UGUUAGGUCUGCGUCCUGUGAGUCGGGGCACACUCCUCAUCUCCUCUUCUGCUUCUUCACGGUUAGUGGCUUGGCCCUGCUUUUCGGAGCCGGUUUUAGUGUAGGUGAGGUAAUGGGCUGUUGAGAGACUGCUUUGGCUGCUUGGGUCUGUGACAGUUUGGCCCAUAAUUGUGCCCAGAAGUGGUCAAAGGCUGUUGCUAUGUGGUCCUCGUGGGGGUCCCGCUUGCUACACUCCGUGUAGCCGCCAUCUUAAAUUGAAGCAUGCGGUUUGGUUGCUUGGC